rnacentral:lncRNA from 1 species
CCGCCUUCUCCCGGCCAGGCCAGCUCGGGCCUUUCCUCCGCCGCCGGGCCGCGUGCCGGCUCGAGGGGACGGACCUUGUUCUGUCUUCGCCCGAGGACUUUACACCCUCAGCGCCGGGGACCUGCUUCGAAACGUGCGUCAACCUGGGAGGACGGAGCGGGCUCGCGCUCAGCAAGCUCUAGCGAGGAAAGACGCCGCGAGAACCCCAGGACCCCUGCCAUACUGUUCCAUGCUGAAGGGCAGACACACCUGCUUCCCCCUCGUCACCUGUUCCCAACCUGUCACUGGCGGUUUUCCUUCCGAAUACCUGAGCCAUUCGCUUUCUAGGGAAAACGUGACUGGAGCCAGGUUACUGGAGUCAGCCUUGGAGACUUGAACUGCUGGAGGGAAAUCUGUGACGGAGCUCAGGGAGACACAAAGCCACUCGGUCAUCAGACCCGCCCCCCUUUGGAUUCUGGAGCCCAUGUUCCCACAAGACUCCAGCCAUGCCGCUCAAAACUAUCCUGAAAUACUUUCAAACUUAGUGCUUUCUCAGGCGCCUUAGGGAGGUUUAAGUCCAGGGUGCAAAGGUCAACUUCAAAUUCUGCUGAAUUCUUUUAUCUCAACUCUUAGAACUCUCAGCCUCGGGUUAAGGUGCUGCCAAUUUUAAAGUAGACACUUCAGGUUGAAUAAGGUGAGAGUGUGUCGGUGAACACGAGAAUGAAAACCGGUAUGCACAGCUAGGGCAUAGUUAUUCACUGCUCCUCACUACCGCUAGCAAAACAGCACAUGUAGUGUCUUACAGAAGUUGGGCACAUCAGUGAUUAAAACGGUGCUUCCUAGUCAUAAACUGAAAGCACCAGGAACUCAGCUCUUCCUUGGUUCACUCCUUAGACAUUCAUUCCGCCUCCUGGUGGCGUCUGUCAGAAACGCUCUUCCUUUCCUGUUCCUACUGAAUGGGGUAGGCUCUAACACAGCGAUUAUAAGUACAUUGGAAAAAUAGCCAGCCAUGGUAGUGCACACCGGUAACCCCAGCAUCCUGGGAGGCUGGGGUGGGAGGAUUGCAAGUUCAAGCCCAGCCUUGUUAACUUAGCGAGACCUUGUCUCAAAAUGAAAAAUGAAAAAAGGGCUGGGGUCUAGCUCAGUGCAAAGGCCCCGGGCUCAGUUCCCAGUACCACACAAAUAAAUGACACACUGGAAACAGUGACAGCCUCAGGGUUACUGACGGAAAUUACACAAAUCCCUCUCCCGGCAACAUCAGAGUACUUCUUUAUAUAAUACCAAUUAAAACCAAUCCUCUCAUAAGGCAUUUGGGAUUUGUUUCUAUUGUCUACACUCCUUCCAAGCUUAAUUUCCAUUUCUCACUUUGCCUUUUCUCCUUCACCCCACUAAUCUCAACUCCUGUGCUACUGUGCAUACACCACUGCCACACACCUCUUCAGGGGUUUAAAAUACUCCAGACUUCAGGGGGAGUCCCAUGAGCAGCUCUAUUUUUAAGCUAUCUAUGAGGUCCUGAAAUGCCUGUACCCCUUGGCUAUAUUUACUCUUUCCACAUCUUCCUCCACCACAUAGCAAUGAGAUGACCCUGUGAAUCAAAAUGACACCCACACUCGGUCUGGGAAGGGAGGCACUGAAGACGAUGAGAGGCUCUGUGGGACAAUACCGUGCUGCUCACGGAGUAGCGAGGAGCCCAGGUAAGGAGUGAGACACAGAGCCACUGCCGAGGCUGGACAGGCAGUAUCUGGAUUACUUACUACUCCUUAGCAUAGUUGCCUAAACUGGUGCCCACAUAAGCUCAGUUUCUUUUCCUACUGUCUUAGUGAGAAGAAUGGGAAAGGCCUGAUAUUUCUGUCUUUGAGAAGCAGAUUUUUGCAGGCUAUGCAUCCUAGGAAGCCCUAAUUUACCCUCUGCUUCCUUCAAAGCUUGUAGCACAGAAUGCCCAUCUCUGACCACUCCUGGGUGGGAUGGUGAGUGUCCCAGACUAUGUAAGCUUUCCUCUUCAUUUCCUGGAGGAGCCGGCCAGACCAGAAGCUCUGUUCUGUGUCUUGUCUCCCUUAUGUUCCAGCAGAAGCCCCAAUAAAGCCUCAUGUGGAUGGUGCACAUUUGCAUCUUUGUGAUUUCUAUCUCAAAUUGAGGAAAGGACGCUGGUCAAGAUAAUAUCUAUAGCUCCUGACUUAGUUACUUUUCUUGUUGCUGGGACAAAAUACCCGACACCCAGUGUUAAAGGAGGAAAGGUUUGCAGUGGACCCUCAAAUUACAACUGGUCUGACACACAAACAACUUGGGUUAUGACCAGAAUUUUAGUUUUAACUUAUGACCAAAGUCUUGAGCUACAACCUAAAUGCCAGCUGCUUAUGCUUCCAGAUGAUCUCAGAUACAGUUUAACCCUGAAAGAGUUCUAGAAGGAACAUUACAACAUCCUUUCCUGUGUGGGGUUGAGAAAUCCCGGGUCAAUGUCUCUCUAAGGACCCUGAGAUCUGCCUGUAUACAGGAGAGAGACUUUGAAGGUUGUGUAGAGGAGCCUGGGCCUUCAGUUGACCAACUUGUAUUACAACCAGUCCUCAGGAAUGAACUGAGUUAAUGAGUCAAGGGUCCACUUUAUCUGGCUUACUGUUUGUAGAGGUUUCAGUCCAUAGUUGGCUGGCUCUAAGGCAGAGUGGCAUUGCAGACAAGCAUCACAGAAGAGAAACAGUUUAUGGCAGAACAAGGUAGCAAAAACAACAAGGGAAACUUUCUGUGCCUUUUAUCUUAUCCAGACUACUGGGAUUAGAGUGGUGCCAAACCAAUCAGUGUACUGGUUUAGUGACCACACACCAUCCCAGCAUCACACACUCUAGAUUCAGCCACCACUGAAAAAGCCACCUGAGGCUUUGGGGGACAUCUAGACUCAAACCAUAACAGCUGCUUUCCUUGCUCUUUUCUGAAUUAGUGGUAAGUAAAGCAAGACCUUUCUGUACCCACUGACCACAUAGCUACUUGGAUAAGGUUGAUGAAUGUCUCAUAUUGAAGUUUAAAUUUCUCCUCAUUUUGUUAACAAUCCUUGGUUCAUUCUAAAUUUGUAUUUCAAAAUACUUGUCAGAAAUUCUGUUUUCUGUAAGUUGAUUUGUGUCUGCCACGUCAUUCCUUAACUAAAGAAAUGGAGAAAUUUGACUACAGAUGGUUUGCCUUUGUGUUUUUCUGGGUGGGAAGUAUUGUUGCUAAACUGUUUUUCUUUUUCCAUUCUAGAGGCCUUGAGCAAUAGAGUCAAGAUAAGAUGUAUAAACUUCUGACUAGCUAUUAUUGUAGACAGCUAAUUUAAUUAAAAUAUUAUAGGCAGUCAGACAAAGCUGGGCCCUCAAAGAAUUAGUGCAGAAGACAAUUGUGG